rnacentral:rRNA from 1 species
UACGGAGGGUGCAAACGUUGCUCGGAAUCAUUGGGCGUAAAGCGCACGUAGGUGGCCUGUUAAGUCGGGUGUGAAAUCCCUGGGCUCAACCCAGGAAGUGCACUCGAAACUGGCAGGCUUGAGUACUGAAGAGGGUCGCGGAAUUCCCGGUGUAGAGGUGGAAAUUCGUAGAUAUCGGGAGGAACACCAGUGGCGAAGGCGGCGACCUGGGCAGAUACUGACACUGAGGUGCGAAAGCGUGGGGAGCAAACAGG